CUAUCAAGUGGAACACCAUCAAUCACAUGGUGGACUCGUUGGGUUCCAAGACAGAUAGGACACCAUGAACAGAUGCUAUGGCUGAGACUGCUGGCCUGGGCAGCACUGUACUUUUUGCUUUUCCUGGAAGGGGAAGAAGAGAACAAUCCACUUUCUGUAUGGUCCUGUCCUUCAUUCGAGUUUAUAACGGUGUUGUGGACAUUGUGCUGACACACCUAAGGGUGGUUUGGAAACAGUUGGCAUGUUUUCUCUCCCCAGCUGAAGUCUACACAAUCUUUACCCAGACAUCAGAAACAGCUGUCUCAGGCAGAAGGCGCUUGACUCCAGGUGGGCGCUCAGCAGCAAGGGCAGGUGAAGGGCAUGGACAUCAGAUUGUUCUCCCCUCAGUCUUCAGUUUUUCAGCUAAGUUCUGACAUGACGACACAGACUGAACACCCUCAGACACAAAGUGCUGGGCACACAGAAGGACAACGUGAUGAAGCGCCAUCACAUGGCUGGUAGCCUGUGGUGAGUCACCGGACUUCUCGACUCCCACCUCACUAGGGUGGAAGGAACAGUAACCACAACGCUCUGCAACUCGGGCUGCGCCCGCAUGAUUGGAAACAAUCUGUGAAGUGCCUUCAGCUCUCCAAAACAACAGAAAUGAUCAAAGAUGGAGGCAAGAAGACCAGAGAACCCUAAAUGUUUACUGUCUCCAGUG
rnacentral:lncRNA from 1 species